rnacentral:lncRNA from 1 species
CAGCACCACAGCAUUGCCCUGAACACUGAUCUUUUUCUCUUCCCCUUGUACAGAUCCCCGUGGUUUCACUGCGCCCACCUGGAUAACCCAAAGACACUUUUCCUUUCUCAAUAUGUGCAACUGAAUCCCACCUGCAAAGUCUCAAUCUACCAUGGACAGUAACACAGUCACAGGCGCCAGAGAUUUGGACGUGAUAUUUUUGGGGGCUGUUACCCUGCUGAUACCCGAGGAUGAGGGUAGGGCAGUAGAAGAAAAGUGAAAAGUAGACAGAAUGGAGAUGCAUCUUGGAGUGUACUGGAUCCCAUUGCUGAUACGAUUAGGAGAUAACAGAGAAACGCCAAUCGAGAGGUGCCAAGCCCAUUCCUUAAAGAGGAUCAUGCAGACUCCUGAGGCCACAAGCGAUCUCCUCCCCAGAGCCAUCCCACUCCACAGUGUGUAUUCUUGUAUUCCUACAGAUGGGGCCAGCCACUCUGCACACUGAACCCCAAAGUAAUGCUCAGACUGCCGACAGUAACCUGAGGGAGUGAUUAAUGGUUCCUAAAAUUGGAGACUAUUAAAAAAACAAAAAUUCUAUACAGCAAGGUACAAAAAUCCUAACUACACCAAUCGAUUAAUUUUCCCAAGUGCACACAGUUCAAUCAUCAACUCCUUCCCAGACCGAAAAACAGAAUGUCAGGGGAUGUGGGAGCCACCCCCUUCUCCUGGGAGGCCCUGUAAGCUCUGAACAUGGGGUUGAAUGAAGGCUGCUAGAACAGAAAUGAGCUCACCCGGUUAAGUGUGCCUUUCAUUUUCCCACUUAAGUGCCAAUCAGUUUUCUCCGUCUGUACUGAGAUUCUGAUUCUCCAUCGUGGCCCUUUCCCAGUGCCUGGCCACUUCCGUAGCUGUCCUCAGCAAUCCUGGCUCUGAAUCACGACCCGGGCCACCCCAUCUCGGACAUGAGGGCAGUGACGCCGGACAGGUAGAUGUACGUGAAAGCCACCUGAACAGCAGAGCCCUCAGAUGCAGAGGGAGUGCACUCCCCUGCCCAGCCAGCCGCAUCCCAAGACAUCUGGGGGUGCCACUCUGCCCA